UUCCGGUUGAUCCCGCCGGACCUGACUGCUAUCGGAUUGAUACUAAGCCAUGCGAGUCAUUGUAGCAAUACAAGGCAUACGGCUCAGUAACGCGUAGUCAACCUACCCUAUGGACGGGAAUAACCUCGGGAAACUGAGUAUAAUGCCCGAUAGAACAUUAUGCCUGGAAGGGUUUAUGUUCCAAAUGAUUUAUCGCCGUAGGAUGGGACUGCGGCCUAUCAGUUUGUUGGUGAGGUAAUGGCCCACCAAGACUAUUACAGGUACGGGCUCUGAGAGGAGUGGCCCGGAGAUGGGUACUGAGACACGGACCCAGGCCCUAUGGGGCGCAGCAGGCGAGAAAACUUUGCAAUGUGCGAAAGCACGACAAGGUUAAUCCGAGUGGUUUCUGCUAAAGGAACCUUUUGUUAGUCCUAGAAACACUAACGAAUAAGGGGUGGGCAAGUUCUGGUGUCAGCCGCCGCGGUAAAACCAGCACCUCAAGUGGUCAGGAUGAUUAUUGGGCCUAAAGCAUCCGUAGCCUGCUCUGUAAGUUUUCGGUUAAAUCUGUAUGCUCAACAUACAGGCCGCCGGGAAUACUGCAGAGCUAGGGAGUGGGAGAGGUAGACGGUACUCGGGAGGAAGUGGUAAAAUGCUUUGAUCUCUCGAUGACCACCUGUGGCGAAGGCGGUCUACCAGAACACGUCCGACGGUGAGGGAUGAAAGCUGGGGGAGCAAACCGGAUUAGAUACCCGGGUAGUCCCAGCCGUAAACUAUGCAAACUCAGUGAUGCAUUGGCUUGUGGCCAAUGCAGUGUUGCAGGGAAGCCGUUAAGUUUGCCGCCUGGGAAGUACGUACGCAAGUAUGAAACUUAAAGGAAUUGGCGGGGGAGCACCACAAGGGGUGAAGCCUGCGGUUCAAUUGGAGUCAACGCCGGAA
rnacentral:rRNA from 1 species